rnacentral:rRNA from 1 species
UACGUAGGGAGCAAGCGUUGUCCGGAAUCAUUGGGCGUAAAGAGCGCGUAGGCGGUCCGGUAAGUCGGUUGUGAAAACUGGGGGCUCAACCCUCAGACGCCGACCGAUACUGUCGGGCUAGAGUCCGGAAGAGGCGAGUGGAAUUCCUGGUGUAGCGGUGAAAUGCGCAGAUAUCAGGAGGAACACCAAUGGCGAAGGCAGCUCGCUGGGACGGUACUGACGCUGAGGUGCGAAAGCGUGGGGAGCAAACAGG